UACGUAGGGGGCAAGCGUUGUCCGGAAUCAUUGGGCGUAAAGCGCGCGUAGGCGGCCCUGUAAGUCCGUUGUGAAAGUCGAAGGCUCAACCUUCGAAAGCCGAUGGAUACUGCAGGGCUAGAGUCCGGAAGAGGCGAGUGGAAUUCCUGGUGUAGCGGUGGAAUGCGCAGAUAUCAGGAGGAACACCAAUAGCGAAAGCGGCCACCUGGACUGCACCUGACGCUGACACGCGAAAGCUAGGGGAGCGAACGGG
rnacentral:rRNA from 1 species